GUCAACAUAAAAAAAAUUAAAGUAGUAACCAAUUUAAAUAAACAGAACAUUUGUCUACUGUAUUUCUUCAAAACUGAACACACCCCAACUCCAUCUCUCUCCUCGACCUUCCUCCCCAAAAGGAAAGAACUGAUCGAAUCAAAACAUAUCUCAAAACAGAACAAGAAUUAAAACUCCAAAUUUAAAACUCAGCACCCCUCACAAAAUAAAUCCCGUCAGCUCUCUCCCAAAAUCACAACCCCAAAAGAACAGAAAGAAAAUUAGAGCUCCGUCGUUUUUUUUCCAAAUCGUCGUUGCACCUGAGUCGACGCCACUGCUGACUCCGAUUCGUCGCAGCCACUGUCCGUUCACGACAGGGACGUGGGGAUGUUGGUGAAACCGUGUGAUGUUGGGAGGUGGAAAAGAUUUGAAGUAAAAUUGGGCUGCAAAAUAGAAUUAGGAAGAAUUAGUUUUGGGCUUCACAAAUGACUUCAUUUAAUUUGAACAAUUAGGCUAGAUAUAGUAGGCCCAAUUAUUGGAUUUAAUUCCAAAUACUUGUAAACGUAAUUUCUAUUUUCCAUUAACGAUACUCAUCGCACACAUCAAUUUCUUAACCAA